rnacentral:rRNA from 1 species
GAUGAACGCUGGCGGCGUGCCUAAUACAUGCAAGUCGAGCGAACAGACGAGGAGCUUGCUCCUCUGACGUUAGCGGCGGACGGGUGAGUAACACGUGGAUAACCUACCUAUAAGACUGGGAUAACUUCGGGAAACCGGAGCUAAUACCGGAUAAUAUAUUGAACCGCAUGGUUCAAUAGUGAAAGACGGUUUUGCUGUCACUUAUAGAUGGAUCCGCGCCGCAUUAGCUAGUUGGUAAGGUAACGGCUUACCAAGGCAACGAUGCGUAGCCGACCUGAGCGGGUGGUCGGCCACACUGGAACUGAGACACGGUCCAGACUCCUACGGGAGGCAGCAGUAGGGAAUCUUCCGCAAUGGGCGAAAGCCUGACGGAGCAACGCCGCGUGAGUGAUGAAGGUCUUCGGAUCGUAAAACUCUGUUAUUAGGGAAGAACAAAUGUGUAAGUAACUAUGCACGUCUUGACGGUACCUAAUCAGAAAGCCACGGCUAACUACGUG